rnacentral:rRNA from 1 species
CCUACUGGAGGCAGCAGUAGGGAAUCUUCCACAAUGGGCGAAAGCCUGAUGGAGCAACGCCGCGUGGGUGAAGAAGGUCUUCGGAUCGUAAAACCCUGUUGUUAGAGAAGAAAGUGCGUGAGAGUAACUGUUCACGUUUCGACGGUAUCUAACCAGCAAGCCACGGCUAACUCAGUGCCAGCGGACGCGGCUAAACGUAGGUGGCAAGCGUUAUCCGGAUUUAUUGGGCGGAAAAGGAGCGCAGGGGGGCUUUUAAGGCGUAUGGGAAAGCGUUCGGUUUAACCGGAGUAGAGCAUUGGAAACUGGGAGACUUGAGUGCAGAAGAGGAGAGUGGAACUCCAAGUGUAGCGGUGAAAUGCGUAGAUAUAUGGAAGAACACCAGUGGCGAAAGCGGCUCUCUGGUCUGUAACUGACGCUGAGGUUCGAAAGCGUGGGUAGCAAACAGGAUUAGAUACCCGUGUAGUC